CAGGGACAGCGGGUCCUUCCUUGGGGUUGACGCUGAGGAACAGGCUCUAUGAGGGCCAUGGACAGCAGGCUGGUUCCUUGGGGUCGAUGCUGAGGAACAGGCUCCGAGGGCCAGCGACGGGUCACUCUUUGACGUAAUAUAGCCCAUAGCUUUCUGAUGAUUGCUCUGCAUGGAUAACGUAACGAACAAGGGAUCAUGAGGCUGUUUUCCAGGACCCAACGGUGCAAACUCUCAUGGCUUUCGCAGGUAUAAAGAUGAUUAUGCCCCCCAACAUGCUGCUAAACAACUUCAGAAGUGCUUCCAUUCACACCUGCCUGAAGACACAUACCUUCUGACAUAAACACGAGCGUCUUGGAGGUUCUGCACAUGCUGGUUGUGGUCCGACAGAUUAAUGGGCAGAUUAAUGGAUCUAUCUUUUUUUCCCUUUGCUCAGGCAUCAGAAGAGACUGGCGACUCAUGGAGGAAGCAGGCGUCAGGAACCCAGGGGUCCUCCGGGUGGAUGCAGGCGGGCAGGGAGCGGGGGGCGGCGUCUGCACGGGGGCAGGGGGGGCGACCCUGGAGCCACCGGCAGACUGAUAACUAGCUUGGCCACACACCCCCAUCCCCGGUGCAGACCCCCGUCCCUGUCCCUGGGAACCCUCUUUUGUUUUGGAUCAUCUGUGAAGCAACAACAUCUCAAAGUAUCCGCACGCGAUUCUGCUGCCCGAACGACCAAAUGCUGCCCAAGACCUGACCUCCUAGUGACCUGCAUCCAGCCAACUGACAAAGGAAGGGCCCGUUUUGGGGGAGGUGGGGGCUUCGAAAAGGGCAGGGGUGGGCAUGGCCAAUGGCACAUAAACGGACGCCGUGCACCGUGCCCAUCCUGGCGUGGACCCGGAGGAGACCCGUCCAGGCCAGUAGCAGAGAGCGAGUGGCUGAACAUGUUUUAUUUCGUCUCACUUGGGACUUCGCUUGUCGGACCUUUUAAUGCGUUUCUUUUAUUUGACAUUCUCUCUCCGCUGAACAUGAUGCUGAACAUGAUGCUGAACAUUGCUGCCAUCUCUAUUACACUGUAUGUGAAACUGGGCUGGGGGGACACUCCCCCUCCCCACGAAUGUACAGAGACUGUAUCGGCAUGUAGCGGAUGUGGGGUUUGCCCAUGGAGAGAGCUCUGCACACCAAUCUUAUCAUAUUAAAACUUAACAGGCAGGAAA